UACAGAGGGUGCGAGCGUUAAUCGGAAUUACUGGGCGUAAAGGGCGCGUAGGUGGUUAAUUAAGUCAGAUGUGAAAUCCCCGGGCUUAACCUGGGAAUGGCAUAUGAAACUGAUUAGCUAGAGUUUGGGAGAGGGAAGUGGAAUUUCAGGUGUAGCGGUGAAAUGCGUAGAUAUCUGAAGGAACACCAGUGGCGAAGGCGACUUCCUGGCCCGAUACUGACACUGAGGCGCGAAAGCGUGGGGAGCAAACAGG
rnacentral:rRNA from 2 species